AUCUACGGCCAUACCACCCUGAACACACCUGAUCUCGUCUGAUCUCCAAAGCUAAACAGGGUCGGGCCAGUUAGUUCUUGGAAAGGAGAACCCUAUUUC
rnacentral:rRNA from 1 species